UAGGGAAUCUUCGGCAAUGGACGGAAGUCUGACCGAGCAACGCCGCGUGAGUGAAGAAGGUUUACGGAUCGUAAAGCUCUGUUGUUAGAGAAGAACGUUGGUAGGAGUGGAAAAUCUACCAAGUGACGGUAACUAACCAGAAAGGGACGGCUAACUACGUGCCAGCAGCCGCGGUAAUACGUAGGUCCCGAGCGUUGUCCGGAUUUAUUGGGCGUAAAGCGAGCGCAGGCGGUUCUUUAAGUCUGAAGUUAAAGGCAGUGGCUUAACCAUUGUACGCUUUGGAAACUGGAGGACUGGAUUGCAGAAGGGGAGAGUGGAAUUCCAUGUGUAGCGGUGAAAUGCGUAGAUAUAUGGAGGAACACCGGUGGCGAAAGCGGCUCUCUGGUCUGUAACUGACGCUGAGGCUCGAAAGCGUGGGGAGCAAACAGG
rnacentral:rRNA from 1 species